UGAACAAGCGCCUGACUGCCCCCCCUGCGGCUUUCCUCUGUCAUUUGGAUGAUCUGCUUCGCCCGUUAUUGAAGGACACAGCUUGCCCCAGCAAAGCUACCUUUGUCUGUGAUCGUGUGGCCGAGGCACUGAUCCUGCGUGUGCGGAGUGAGCUCUCUGGUCUCCCCUUUUAUUGGAAUUUCCACUGCACCCUAGCCAGCCCUUCCCUGAAACUACCAGAGGCAUGCAGCGUAGGUGAUGGAAGGCCCUUUGUCAUGAAUUUACAGAAUCUGUAUAUGGCAGUCACCAGACAAGAGAUCCAAGGGAGACAGAACCAUCAGGGCACUGGAGAUCCUCAGCCCUCAAGCAGUGCCUCCCCACAAGGGACCGAAAACCAACUUCUGAACCAGCCGGAAGAACCAGCACCAUCCCUCCCAGUGCCCGAGAAAGAGCCCCCAGGUACUUCAGGCCCUAUGCACAGACCUCAGCUGUCAAAGGUCAAGAGGAAGAAGCUAAGGGGGCUCUUCAGUUAACCUGUCCCUGUCCCGACUGCGGAGAAUGGGCUUGGAGAAUAGUUUCCUCGUGUCACCUUGAGAGGAGCUCCUGUAGCAACAGCAUCUCCAGCACCGGGUUACAUAGUCAGAGGCCCCACAGCAAGGCUGACGUAACAGAAAUUCCCGCGGACAGGCGUGGGUACUGUUAACCCAGGGAAUCUGGGCUCCCACCCGCUGGGCGUUGGCCUUCCCUAGCCGAGUGGAAGCCAGCUUCUGAGAAUCCCAUACCUUCCUCUCUUUUGUCGGAGGUUCCCCAGACCCAGGAUCCUACCAUGGACUUUAGGUGCAGAGGACAAGUCAGCAAAAAAGGCACAACGUGCUCAGGAAGCCUUGUCCACCUUUCUCAAGAGUCCCUAGCUCCUCAGAGACCCACUUCUCUCUUAAGCCCGGAAUAAAAAGCACUCACACUCCCCUG